GGAGUUGUAGCUCAGUGGCAGAGCACUUGCCUUGUACAUGUGAGGCACUGGGUUCGAUUCCCAGCACCA
rnacentral:tRNA from 1 species